rnacentral:lncRNA from 1 species
AGAUUUAUUACCUUAACUGUAAUUUUCAUAAGUGAUUCCUUCAAUGAUACUACCUCUCCUAAUGGAUCAACAAUGCUUUGAAAAGCUAUAAUAUUUCAGGUGUGAGGAUGUACUAACCCAAUAGACAUGAAUUUCAUAUAGUUCAAAUGUGAGCAUGGUUCUACUUUUUUAAACCAUGUCAAUACUUAAUUACAUUCCCACUUAAAGAAACAUUUCUCUUAUCCCAUCUGUUUUUUUGGCCCUAAAGUAAUUUAUUAAUAAAAGAAAACCCUAACAAAAGGGUAAAAAGGAGAUACAAAGACAAAUCUUAUAAAACAACCCUCACACCCAAACACGUCAAAAAGUGCCCCAAAACACGAACAUUCAUCCACUUAUAACAACCCAAAGCAACACCCCACACACUAAUAAUCAAGAAAAGAAAUACAACCCUAAACUUUGGAAGCAAGAAAUUAACCAAAAAAAAAGAAAAGAAAAGAAGGCAACCCAAUACUCAAACAUCUCCAAAGUCUCCUUAAUGAUCACUCUAUAACCCAACUCGACAACUUAUCAAUUGAAACUCAACAUAGCCGUGGACGCAACAUGACCAAAUAUAAAAAAAAAAAAUCAUCAAAACGUAUUAAAGAAACAUCCACCUCUCAUUUUCUUGAUCAACAAAAUACACUGAAUCUAAAUAACAUGUCAGAAAAGCAUUAGCCAAUAACUUGUUG